AGAAGUAGGUAGCUUAACCGUAAGGAGGGCGCUUACCACGGUAGGAUUCGUGACUGGGGUGAAGUCGUAACAAGGUAGCCGUAUCGGAAGGUGCGGCUGGAUCACCUCCUUUCUAGAGUG
rnacentral:rRNA from 1 species